AUUAAUAUCCCUAAAGUUAAAAAGAGGGGAUUGCUAUGCAACUGCUUUACAGCUGAUCUAUUUACAUGGAUCAGCUGAUCGUCCUGCUUAACUGAGGUGUAGGUGUUUCUGAUUGGUUACCCCCGCUUUAAAGAUCCCUAGCUUUUGCAAUGUGGACCCCCUGCCUCUGUCCUAUAUAUGCACCUUGAGCAGCAAUGCAUACACAGUAUGCAUUGCUGCUCAGUUCUCCUUUGCUAAGGGAAUAUAGUGAACAGUGAUGUAUUCAGUACCGUGUGCAUCACAGCUCAUCUCAGACAGUGGAAAUGCAUGCACUACUAGAAGUCUGAAUUCAAGAUGGCGGGUGCUACAUCUGUAAAUCCUGGGAAUAUCUAAAUACUGGGACCGUAAAAGGUUAUUAAAAUUUUGGCAUGAAAUCAGAACCCACAAUCACAAUAAUAUUGAGAAAAAGUCUUCUGCUUAGAUGAAAGACCUGAAAAGAUGGAAAGUCUCUGCAAUAUAAGCUUGAUUGCCAUACCUACAUACUCUACAUACGUUCAUUACAUUUAUUCUGCAAAGUCUUAUUGAAGUAAUAAAUACCGUAAUUAUACUGAAUAUGUAUGAAAUGUUAUAAUGUUGGUACAGAAAGUAUUUUCUAGUAAAGUAACUAAUAUUUCAAAGAAAAAACUGUGCAACAGUGAUGCAGUAAAGAGAAUUUUAUGUCCUUAAUUCAGGUUAGCGCACAGCUAUUAGCCUGUACCAAGUAAAGCACAUGAUCAACAGCAUUACUGUCCAGCGAGUGUUCACGACCAGUGUACUCCACAUUCUUUAUGGGCCAUUCUACAACGAUAGCGUAACUUGUAGGGCAAUUGGGGCACUUUUAAAUACAAAUCCAACUGCCAUUUUGACCGAAAUAGGUCUCAUAUAAAUUUUGGAAAAUUUGCUCCCAAGUGCCCACCUGUUUUAUUUUUGUUUUUUUUUACUGUUUAACACUACUGCAUUCAGCAUUUUCUUACAUUUUGAAUUAGAAAAAAAUAUUUGGUACUCCAGGAUGGAUGAGUUCACAAAUUCUAUGGAGCCUGACCAUUUACAGGGUAUGGAUGUCUAAUGUAUACCCCAUGCUAUGUCAAACUCAAAAAAUUAAAUAUGCUAAUCUUACUACUUAUUAUAAAUGAAAUGUGGUAUUAUAUGCUGGAUUUUUUCAUCAUACAUGGCAUCCAUUUUCCAAAUGAAGUAGGAAGCUGUGAUGAAAAAGAGUAAGGACAAGUCUACAUGAUUAAUGACAUUAAUAGAUAAGAGGAUGUUUUAAUCAAAUAUUAAAUCAUUGCACACAUCAUAGGAUUGCCUCAUGCGGUGCUAUAUUAUAGAGCUGAUUAAUCAUAAUGUCCAGGACG